ACGGAAGGCAGCAGUGGGGAAUAUUGCACAAUGGGGGAAACCCUGAUGCAGCGACGCCGCGUGAGUGAAGAAGUUAUUCGUAAUGUAAAGCUCUAUCAGCAGGGAAGAAAAUGACGGUACCUGACUAAGAAGCCCCGGCUAACUACGUGCCAGCAGCCGCGGUAAUACGUAGGGGGCAAGCGUUAUCCGGAUUUACUGGGUGUAAAGGGAGCGUAGACGGCAUAGCAAGUCUGAAGUGAAAACCCAAGGCUCAACCAUGGGAUUGCUUUGGAAACUGUUAAGCUAGAGUGCAGGAGGGGCAGGCGGAAUUCCUAGUGUAGCGGUGAAAUGCGUAGAUAUUAGGAGGAACACCGGUGGCGAAGGCGGCCUGCUGGACUGUAACUGACGUUGAGGCUCGAAAGCGUGGGGAGCAAACAGGAUUAGAUACCCUGGUA
rnacentral:rRNA from 1 species